UGCUGGGUUUACAGGUUCAGAAGCUUUA
rnacentral:piRNA from 1 species